ensembl:lncRNA
AGCCUUAUUCGUAUUGAAAAGAGAAGUAUCUUGUGUUUUGUGCUUACAAGUUAAUGUCUUAAACUGUCGAUCUUGUUACUGUGCUAAUUGAUAGUGUUUUCACUAUAGUUUGGAUAUUAGUAUCCAGCGCAGAUUUGAUGUUAAACGGCUCGUUCACUGAACCGCAGGCGCGUCUCCGUGAGCAGCCGUGAAACAGUGAUUCUGUUCAAAUUCCCUUUAAAAUCUUAAAUGAUUCCCUUUGAGCUAAAUUGACCUGUUUCCCUUACAGUGUUCUGCUCCGAUCUACUUAGAAAGAUAGAGCCACUCAAUAUAACCAGGGGCACUGAUCUUCACAUGUAAGACACGGAUCGAAGCGCAGCGAGGAGAGGAAGUAUGAAGGCUCUGUGUUGGUGAGAGUCACUCAGACAUGGUUGCUAAGCUCCCAGGCUUUGCAGUUUAUCUCUCUGAGGCUCCGUGUAAAAGGAAAAAUAGAAGAGCAGGGCUCAAGAGCAGGGUUCAAUUAAGGAGGUCCGUGAGUGAGGAAGAGCGACACUCAUGCUCCCAGCGAGAGCAUUCAGUCUCAAUGAGGGUGACAGUGCAUCAGCCAAAAGUGUGAUCCACUGUAUCCUACAAUCCUCGAAGAUAGAGCCAGAGUCUUUAUCCAAGGACCGCUCAACAGAUUCCGCAUUCCUCACAGAUACCAUCUAUUAUCGUCUGACAUCAUCUCUGGUUUACUGACCCACUAACAUUCCAUGCUAAAUGCCUCUGACAUAAAACACUCGACUAGUUACUGGUCAUCUAGCAGAUGCUUUUUCAUGCAGAAUUUUUUUCAGUGAACUAUUUGUAGGGACAGUCUGCCUGGAGCAACUCAGGGGGUUAAGAGCCUCACUCAUUACACAUAAUGAGGUCUCAGGAACUCUCCUAUUCUUGGGAAACACCAGAUUAAAUGAGCAAUCAAUAUAUAUAUAAUGUAGUACAGUAGACCGAAGACAAAUUUAUAAAAUGUCCUCCCAGAUGUGGAACUGGUAGCAUGACAAUACAAAUACAAAAUGAAUGUGAAUCAUACACUGAAUACAUAUAAAAAUUUCAUGAACUGAAAAUGCUUUUACCAUAGAGCAUAAUUUGUAGACUAGUAAUACAUUUUGAUGUACAUCACAUAACCAGCUCCAUAUAUGGAUUUUCUGAUGGAGUAAACUUUCUGAGCACCUAAUCUGGUAGCUACAGAAUUGCACUUGCGAUGCACUGAAAGAAAGUGUGUUGGAUUUACAUGAUUUAAACUUGUAGCCUAUGCAUCAGUUAAGUAAAACAAACAUAAUUUGUUCACGAAACUUCAACUUCGCUUGACCAAAUUAAGUAGUCUCAAUGUGAUUUUGCAUGGAUCCCAGGAUUUAAUUCAUUCAAUUUUGUAUGCAUUUUGUCACAUAACUGAAUUAUAAUACUAGCUAACAAACUGUUUGUGAGCAACAGCACUAAUUAGCAUGCUAAAUGCUAAGUCUGCUCCCUAAGUAAAGCAGCAAAACACCAGUCCUCCACCAGUGCAAUACAAGUCCUCACUCUACACAAAAGCUCCACUCUUCAUCACAACGGUUUGGGAACUAUAGGGAACUAUAAUUUCAGGGAACUAGUUAGAGCUAGAUUUAGAGCUAGAGCUAGUUGCUUAGAACCAGUACACGCUGUGCAACAUACAGUACAACUAAUGUAAAAAACAAAACAACCUUUCCAGAUUCACGUUCAUCUGUUUCAGAUGAAAUUGAAAAUGCUUUUAGUGCACUCACUGGGCAUUUCAAUUUGAAAAUAUCAUGAAAUGUGGAAAAUUGGUUUUGAAGAGAAAUCAAACAGUUUGAUUAGGUAAGUUUGAGUUCAUAUUGAAAUAUCGGAUGUUUGAUGACAAGACUCUAGUAUCUUUAAUUUCAUAGCCAUCAAUGAGAAGCAGUAGAGAUGUUACACAUAGACUGUCCUCUGCUGUCCACGGGGCCUAUAGGGUCUCAUUGUGAUGUGUAUUAUUGUUUAAUACAGGGCAGCACAGCUCUAUUGACCUUUGGGGGUCAUGGUGUCAGGAUUGUUUAGUCUGCCUUUUUCUAACCAUCCAUCAAGAGCCAGACGCAGAACUCGCAACUGACAAAAGCACAGAGAGACAGAGGACAAAGCAUGAUGGAAAAGUGGGAGCAUGUAAACGCCACUUGUCAGCCUUCGAGUAAGGCUUUGUCACACAUGAAUACUGCAGUGGUGAAGAUGGAGGAUGUGUUGACAUCUCAAGGUUACAUAAAAGCCACCACACAAUGCUUUCUCUUACAGCUAUCUGUGUGGGAAAAUUUCUAAAGCGUGUACACAAAACAAUUUUUAUUGAUCACUUCUUUCUUCUAUUUCUCCCUGAAAUUAAGCUAACCCACUCAUAAGGAAACUCCCACACACGGAGAACCCAACCCUAGUUUUCUCCCUUUUCUUUAUUUGCUUUCUAAAAGAUAACCUUUGCUCAAUGCAAUUUGUAGGUCAGAUAGAAACAAUGAAAUGAAGUUCAAUGUAAGACAGUGAAUCUUCUGUAGUAUUGAUGGUAACUGCAUUCUCAUUUGGUCAGUCAUAUAUUUAUUGCAUUUCAUCUGAAAAUGUCUAGGGUAGUACAAUUCCAGAAUCCAGAUAAACACUAGGCAGUUCAUGCUAUGUGGUUGUUAUAGUGUUAUGGGUGUCAAGUUCUUAUGAUAAUCUGAACUCUAUGAAUCAGGAACCUCCUUCAAAUAUGGCAUAUGUCUUCAAGAAGGUUCAGAAUUGUUCAAAUCCUUAAAGAUGAAGCUUGCAUUAGACAGCACCACUCAGUGCUCAGUUAUGUGUGCUUUUGUCCAUGUAUACUAAUGUCCUCUGCUCAUCAAAGACAUCCAGCAAUCACCGCAAGCAAUACAAAAACGGACAUCUACUUCACUGAAUAGUUUCUGUCUUCCCUUCUCUCCGAAGCCCAUUCAUUAACCUCUUGACAGCCAUUUUGCAUUCUGUAAUGGCUUCUUUAUUGUUCUGCAUUAGCUGUGUAAUUAAAACAAAAGUGGGAAAUCAAUGCAAAUCUAAUUACCUUAACUUGUUUAUGUCCAUUAUAGUCAGUGUGAAGAAUCUCAUCAUGUGGCUUAGUCCUUUUAUAUUCCACAAGUGAACAUUAAAACACUGAAUUUAUGACAUGUACCACAGCUCAGUAUUUUGAUAUGCCCAGCUUAUGUGAUUUCUUGCCACAUAUACAUUAGGACAUUUACAUAUAGUUCAAUGUUUAAAUGGACAUUAUUCGAGUAACUGUGCUGUACUGCUCACACUGUUCUUAACUGAAAGAAAGCUUAAGGUUCAUUAUCCAAAUCAUCAUGUUUAGCAGAAGAAAUGUGGUUUAUAUAGGAGAGAAUGGAACAAUGCACAUUUACUCUAUGCAUCUUGG